UGUCUGUUGUCUCCACAGCCGCUUGGGCCCCCACGGCACAGCCUCAGUAGCCUGGCCUUUCUUUGGCAGCUUCCCUUCUCAGGGUCUGUGCUUAGGAGAGUCCCUGACCAGAUCCUGGGCUGCCCCCAACAGACGCUGCGUCUCCUCCAUCGGACCCUCCCCUCCGGUGCUGCAGGAACCAACGGACGGACGGACGGCCAGCCACGCAUGGACUUCCCCAGUAGCCAGGCAGUACUCGGUGGCUGUAACGGACAGGCUGGCAUUUCUCUCCGGGUCGGCCCCACCAGAGCCUGAGAAUUCGACUCGGUAGGAUUCAUCUGUCUCUCCGUGUCACUGACACUUUCCUGGCUUUGGCCCAGAGCUUCCACGCUGCAGGAAGCCACCGGACCCUUUGUGGCCAUCUGCCCCUGUCAAUCUCCCUCCUCCUCGGGGACCGCCAAUCACGCUGCGGGCUCUUUAUUUCCUUAUCAGUAGCCAAUCAAUGUGGCUCUCUAACGGCCUCCACAGUGCCUUGGGCUGCUGGGCAUUGUGGGGUACCCUACUCUGCACUCUCAGAGCCAGCCAACAAGGUUGUCUUCUCCCCCUGCCUCAGCGUCCCUCUCUGUAAAAUGGGUCUCUGGGAUACCCAAAGGGCUCAGCUAAGUACCCUCCAGGCGUCAAGCUGCACACCUCUGGCAUACUCCCAAGACCUCAGCUUGCCUGUCAAGGUAGCUAAUGGUCUCUUCUAAUGAUUGAUGUAUUUUUAUGUGACUGAUUGUGUUUUGCCUGUGUAAGGGUGUUGGAUCCCCUGGAACAGGAGUUACAAUUGUUAAGCUGUCACAUGGAUGCUGGGAAUUGAACCUAGGUCCUCUGGAAAAGCAGUUGUGGUUGGUGGUUUGUAUAUGCUUGGCCCAGUGAGUGGCAAUGUUAGAAGGUGUGGCCAUGCCAGGCAGUGGUGGCGCACGCCUUUGAUCCCAGCACUUGGGAGGCAGAGGCAGGCGGAUUUCUGAGUUCAAGGCCAGCCUGGUCUACAGAGUGAGUUCCAGGCCAGUCAGGGCUACACAGAGAAACCCUGUCUGGGGGGGGGCAGGGAGGAGGUGUGGCCUUGAUGGAGGAAGUGUGUCAUUGUAGGGUGGGCUCUGAGACCCUCCUCCUAGCUGCCUGAGGACAGUCUGCUCCUGGCUUCCUUUGGAUGAAGAUGUAGAACUCUCAGCUCCUCCUGUGCCAUGCCUCCUGCCAAGGCAAGGCUGGGGCGCCAGCAAGUGCAGAGGAUCCCCUUGUCUCUGCGCUUCCCAGAAGCCCGGGGUGGGUGUACACCGUUGCGCCCAACUCACACAUGAGUGCUAGGCAAUCAAACUGAUCGAGCUUGCCCACACACAGCGUUACCUGCUGAGCCCGCUAGCCUGCAGCCGGAAAGGUUCAGGAAUCAGUGCUCAGCCGUGUCUCAGUCCAGAGUUACUACAGCAUGUGCCGGAGCCGAGACCCACCCGAGAGCCUGCCCACUGCCAACCAGUGCUGCCUCCCUCGCAGCAGGCUCUCCACCCGCUCCUGAGUCCACUUCCUCAGUGAGACACACACCGGGCCGCAGACUUGAUGUUACUUUAUUUUCCAGUUCAAAGCUACUAUCAUGGGUCUUCAGAGUUAUACAAAUGACAGUUACAAAAAAUAAAAGACCGAGACACCCAGAGUGAGAUGCAUGAUGUGGGGGAGUCGGUGGAAUGGGGGGUACUUGGGAAAGGGCCCCCUGAGGUUUUACUCCAGGGCUCCCAGGGAGGGACACAUCUGGCUUUCUCCCGCCCAGGAGCCCCGAGGUGUCUGGGAAGACGGGGAGCACCAAUCACAGAGCCAGGGCUGGGGUGGACAGGCAGGAGGGAGGGAGGGAAUCCCCUGGGGAGGCAGGGACAGGUGCCAAGCAUCUCCCCCCCCAAAAC